rnacentral:rRNA from 1 species
CAGCCGCCGCGGGAAUACGUAGGGUGCAAGCGUUAAUCGGAAUUACUGGGCGUAAAGCGUGCGCAGGCGGUUAUAUAAGUCAGAUGUGAAAUCCCCGGGCUCAACCUGGGAACUGCAUUUGAGACUGUAUGGCUAGAGUGUGUCAGAGGGGGGUAGAAUUCCACGUGUAGCAGUGAAAUGCGUAGAUAUGUGGAGGAAUACCGAUGGCGAAGUCAGCCCCCUGGGAUAACACUGACGCUCAUGCACGAAAGCGUGGGGAGCAAACAGGAUUAGAGACCCGUGUAGUCCCUGUCUCUUAUAC